CUUUUAGUUUUUUAUGAUAUUUUAUUGACUAUACAUUAUUUUUGUUUAUGUCAGAAUAUGACAAGUAAACACGUAUCUGACACACAGAAAUACUUCUCAAAGUUCUGGUUGUCACAUCUCGUGGAACAGUCUCUCCUCAAUGUUGUCACAUCUCGUGGAACAGUAUUUCCUAAAUUUUGCACAGCCCUUCCUGCUACAUACACGUCAUAACAAGGACACAGAAAACCAAAGAAUAUAACAC